rnacentral:rRNA from 1 species
GACGAACGCUGGCGGCGUGCCUAAUACAUGCAAGUCGAGCGGAAUGAUGAAGAAGCUUGCUUCUUCUGAUUUUAGCGGCGGACGGGUGAGUAACACGUGGGCAACCUACCUUGUAGAUUGGGAUAACUCCGGGAAAACCGGGGCUAAUACCGAAUAAUCCAUUUUGCUUCAUGGCGAGAUGUUGAAAGACGGUUUCGGCUGUCACUAUAAGAUGGGCCCGCGGCGCAUUAGCUAGUUGGUAGGGUAAUGGCCUACCAAGGCGACGAUGCGUAGCCGACCUGAGAGGGUGAUCGGCCACACUGGGACUGAGACACGGCCCAGACUCCUACGGGAGGCAGCAGUAGGGAAUCUUCCAACAAUGGACGAAAGUCUGAUGGAGCAACGCCGCGUGAGUGAAGAAGGUUUUCGGAUCGUAAAACUCUGUUGUAAGGGAAGAACACGUACGAGAGUAACUGCUCGUACCUUGACGGUACCUUAUUAGAAAGCCACGGCUAACUACGUG